GGCAAAAAAGGGGGGAAAUAGUGGGGUUAGAGGGGGGGGUUGUGGGAUUUUAUGGGGUUUAGGGGGGACUCAGAGGGUUUGAGGGGGUCCUAUAGGGCUGGGGGGGUUCUAAGGGGCUUGGGGGGGCAAUACAGUGGGGUCCUAUGGGGCUGGGGGGUGCCGAUGGGGUUUGGGGGUUCCUAUAGGGUUUGGGGGGCAAUACAGUGGGGUCCUAUGGGGUUGGGGGGCAAUACAGUGGGGUCCUAUGGGGAUGUGGGGGUCCUAUGGGGUUUGGGGGGCAAUACAGUGGCGUCCUAUGGGGUUUGAGGUGGUCCUAUAGGGUUUGGAGGGGUUAUACGGGGUUUUGGGGGGUCAUAUGGGGCUCUGGGGUCCUAUGGGGUUUGGGGGGGUCCUAUGGGGUUUUGAGGGGCGACAGCCCCCCCACAUUGAAAGUGGGGCUCUGAGCCUGGAGCCGCGUGGCCUGCAGGGCUAUGGGGUGGGGGGCUACACAUG
rnacentral:lncRNA from 1 species